UACGGAGGGGGCUAGCGUUGUUCGGAAUUACUGGGCGUAAAGCGCACGUAGGCGGCGAUUUAAGUCAGAGGUGAAAGCCCGGGGCUCAACCCCGGAAUAGCCUUUGAGGCUGGAUUGCUAGAAUCUUGGAGAGGCGAGUGGAAUUCCGAGUGUAGAGGUGAAAUUCGUAGAUAUUCGGAAGAACACCAGUGGCGAAGGCGGCUCGCUGGACAAGUAUUGACGCUGAGGUGCGAAAGCGUGGGGAGCAAACAGG
rnacentral:rRNA from 1 species